rnacentral:rRNA from 1 species
UACGUAGGGUGCGAGCGUUGUCCGGAAUUAUUGGGCGUAAAGAGCUCGUAGGCGGUCUGUUGCGUCGGCUGUGAAAACCCGGGGCUCAACCCCGGGCCUGCAGCCGAUACGGGCAGACUAGAGUUCGGCAGGGGAGACUGGAAUUCCUGGUGUAGCGGUGAAAUGCGCAGAUAUCAGGAGGAACACCGGUGGCGAAGGCGGGUCUCUGGGCCGAUACUGACGCUGAGGAGCAAAAGCGUGGGGAGCGAACAGG